AUGCAGCAACGCCGCGUGAACGAUGAAGGUCUUCGGAUCGUAAAGUUCUGUUGCAGGGGAAGAUAAUGACGGUACCCUGUGAGGAAGCCCCGGCUAACUACGUGCCAGCAGCCGCGGUAAUACGUAGGGGGCUAGCGUUAUCCGGAUUUACUGGGCGUAAAGGGUGCGUAGGUGGUCCUUCAAGUCGGUGGUUAAAGGCUACGGCUCAACCGUAGUAAGCCGCCGAAACUGGAGGACUUGAGUGCAGGAGAGGAAAGUGGAAUUCCCAGUGUAGCGGUGAAAUGCGUAGAUAUUGGGAGGAACACCAGUAGCGAAGGCGGCUUUCUGGACUGCAACUGACACUGAGGCACGAAAAGCGUGGGUAGCAAACAGGAUUAGAUACCCUGGUAGUCCACGCUGUAAACGAUGAGUACUAGGUGUCGGGGGUUACCCCCCUCGGUGCCGCAGCUAACGCAUUAAGUACUCCGCCUGGGGGAGUACGCACGCAAGUGUGAAACUCAAAGGAAUUGACGGGGACCCGCACAAGUAGCGGAGCAUGUGGUUUAAUUCGAAGCAACGCGAAGAACCU
rnacentral:rRNA from 1 species